UGAAUGGACUUUUUUGUCAUUGUGAAAUAUCCCAUUUUACUUGACUAAUUCUAUUUGUCUUAAAAUCUUCUUAGACUGUUAUUGAUAGAGCUACAUCAGCCUUCUUUUUGGUGUUUUCUUGCUUGACUUCUCAGAGGCAUUGGGG
rnacentral:lncRNA from 13 species